rnacentral:rRNA from 1 species
GGGGAAUAUUGCGCAAGGGGCGAAAGCCUGACGCAGCAACGCCGCGUGAGUGAUGAAGGCCUUCGGGUCGUAAAGCUCUGUCGGAGGGAACGAAUGCUCCCGAGGUUAACAGCCUCGGGAAGUGACGGUACCCUCAAAGGAAGCACCGGCUAACUCUGUGCCAGCAGUCGCGGUAAUACAGAGGGUGCAAGCGUUGUUCGGAAUUAUUGGGCGUAAAGCGCGUGUAGGCGGCUUUGCAAGUCGGGUGUGAAAGCCCUCAGCUCAACUGAGGAAGUGCGCCCGAAACUGCAGAGCUUGAGUGCCGGAGAGGGUGGCGGAAUUCCCCAAGUAGAGGUGAAAUUCGUAGAUAUGGGGAGGAACACCGGUGGCGAAGGCGGCCACCUGGACGGUAACUGACGCUGAGACGCGAAAGCGUGGGGAGCAAA